UACAGAGGUCUCAAGCGUUGUUCGGAUUCAUUGGGCGUAAAGGGUGCGUAGGCGGCGCGGUAAGUCGGGUGUGAAAUCUCGGAGCUUAACUCCGAAACUGCAUUCGAUACUGCCGUGCUUGAGGACUGGAGAGGAGACUGGAAUUCAUGGUGUAGCAGUGAAAUGACGUAGAGAUCAUGAGGAAGACCAGUGGCGAAGGCGGGUCUCUGGACAGUUCCUGACACUGAGACACGAAGGCCAGGGGGAGCAAACGGGG
rnacentral:rRNA from 1 species